AUUUGUAUUAUAUCACUGUAUAUAUGUAGCAUUACUGGCUGCGCAUGCUCCUGCCUAUUUCUACUUUCCCCUAUUUCGACCGAGAAUGUCGGUGAGAGAGAACGAGCACGUUUUUCAGCCGAAAAUUCCGAGUCAGGAACACUAAUACACACAACUCGACAACAAAUAAAAAUCCGAUUUUCACAAACGAUCCCACGACAUAUUUAUUAUUAAAUAUUGUUCGUUUUGCAUUUAAUUGAUUCUCACUACAACAAUGGUUCAUCAUUAUUAUCAAUUUGUAGAAGCCAUAAAGGUGAUAGUCCAAUUGUAUCAGUAAAAAAGAUGAAUAGCUGUUCGCUAUUUUUAGGCAUUGGUAAUCUUUUGGUUUGGUUUCCAUUAUUACGUUAUUUUGCCUAUUUUCAAUCAUACAACAUUCUCUUAUUGUAACAUUGAAGAAAUCUUUUCCAAACGUUUUGCGGUUCUGUCUCUGUGCAUUUUUAGUUUAUGGAGGAUUUUGUUUUUGUGGUUGGGUCGUUUUGGGUCCUCAUCUCAAAUUUCGUACGCUUAGUUCAACAUUGGAAUGCUUGUUUUCACUUAUAAACGGUGAUGAUAUGUUUGCUACAUUUUUUUCCACUGCACAGUAAAAAAGUGCGCGAGUACUCGCGAUUUUUCGCCUGAUAGCCUGUUUACUCGCAAAAAUCGCGAUUACUCGCGGUAAUCGUGUGUAAACAAAAGUUUUCGAUUGUUUAAUUUGAUUUCGAUGUUUAACAUUUUCAUUUUUGUUUGGAUACGGAAUUAUUUCGAAUCAUAAACCAAUGGAUUAGAAUUAUAUCGAUAAAAAUGGUAAUUUGGGACAAAACGAUCCAACUAUUCCAAUUCAAAAAGGUCUUCAAUGCGAUGGAAAAAAGAUUUCACAUUUCAUUUUUCUUAUUACGAAGGAAAUCUUAUAAAUUCAAAUGGCACAUUUGUGCCGGAUAAUUAUGAAUUCCCGGUAUUUGAUGAUGACUUAAACGUAUUUUUGCUGAAUCCGAAUUCGAUUGCCAGCUUUAAGAUAUUGAAUUCAAUUAUUCUUUCUAUCAUCAGAUCAA